CUCAGAAGUGUGAUUGGCGGUUCAGCAGUGAUGUCACAGAUGGGGGGCGGGGUCAGCCUCACCUGGGAGAUCUCAGGAGAACAACAGCGGUGAUGCUGUGAGGUGCGAGCCAAGUCCGUCCGGUGAAGAGACGCGAGCGGUUGGGAGCCAGGAGACGCCUACCCCCCAGCCAAGAGACGCUUAGUCCCCAUCGCAGGAUGACACGGCGUUGGAGGGGCCGACCGAAUCGAGUCCUGCAACUACAGGUCGGCCGAGGUUCUGCGCCGUGGGACCUUCUCCUCCUUCAGGCCCACGACACCCGGAGACGAUGUGACCGGUCGUCUGUUGGCAGCGUGUCCUCCCCCCUCUCCUCCCUAAUCCAUUCAUCACUUACAGUAGGAAGCAGCCUGCCACUGGUGAGUUAUCUGUGCUCCGCCCACAACCAGCACACGCACACACACACACACACACACACAAACACACAUCGAGAAAGACGAGAAAAGUUUUCCCCCUCCAUUAUUAUUAUUAUCAGGACACUUCAGACAGUUUGACUAAAUAUAAUACAGAUAUAAUGUAGAUAUAAUAACGAUUAUAUAUAUAUAUAUAUAUAUAUAAUGAAGAUAUAAUACAGAUAUAAUGUAGAUAUAAUAACGAUUAUAUAUAAAUAAAUAUAUAUAUAAUAAAUAUAUAAUAUAGAUAUAAUCAGCAGAGAACUCACGGUGCUGUGCUGUACCUGUUUAUAUUGACCUUUAACCUCCAGGCCGCUGCUCAUUCUGGGUUGUAAUUGGCUGGAUGAUGUGGAUUGACCUUGAGCAACUCGAUAGCUGACACUGACUCCUGAUUGGUCGACUCCACUUGAUGUCACCAGCACAAGAUGGCGGCGCCUUAAUCAGAGAUAUAUUUUUCGCAUCGCCAUUGGCCGAUCAGGUUCAUGGAGACGACCUGGACAAUGACUUUGUGCCUGUUUCUUUUUCUAAAUCACUUCCUGGUUCGUGUUUCACUCAUCGUCUCAACUUGACCUGUAACGACACGUUCACACGAACAAGUUUGGGUCUGAACCUUUGAAUGUUGUCCUCACUUACGUGUGUGUGUGUGUGUGUGUGUGUGUGUGUGUGUGUGUUUAGAAAACCACUCUAUCCCAUCCUGUCCCUCUGCUUUUGAGGUUAAAGCUUAGAGCUGUAAUUAUACUGUCUAGCCCAGAACCACCUGUCGUGUGUGUGUGUGUGUGUGUGUGUGUGUGUGUGUGUGUGUGUGUGUGUGUUGUAGAACAGUACACCUUUGCAUAGCGACACAUCAGUCAGCUCCACCUCAUCUGCUGCCUUUGAAACCCGCCCAACUUCUGGUUACACACAGUGUCGCUUUAGAUACACACACACACACACACACACACACACACUGUUGACCAAAACCCCUCAGGCAGUCGACACGUCUUCCUGCAGGCUUGUGUGAAAGUGUGAACCUGACGUCCUCUCUGCGUUCGCGAUGUUAGUUGGCAACGUCGACGUGUAGACGUUGAGUGAAUUUGGUAAAAAGUUAAAUUUACCGACUGGUUUUUGUAGCUCUGAUUGAUUCUAGAUCGAUCCAGUUGACCCCAGAGACAAAGCGUCGCUGAACCCAGAGGUUCCGGACCCACGAGGAGAAUGAUCGGAGGCCGUUCCCUGGAGAAGUGGCCUCCUCCCCCUCCCCUCGCCCCGCGUCACCGCUUGUUCCUUUUCAAAUCGCUGAUGUACUCGGCGAGCGGCCGCCACCAGCGGCGGACUGAUGUGUUAUCAAUACGUUAAUUGGAUUGAUAGAUGAAGCGUACGAGCCGGUGUCAGGUGGGACGGAGCACCAGCCCGGCUCAGACUGACACAAACAGAUGAGACGAGCCGCAGGGAAACGGCCGGAACAAUGAGCGGGCAGGGGACACGCGAGGAGCCGCCCCCGCCUCACCCCGCCCCCUACCCCCAUGGUCAUUUCAUUGGAGAGAGGCUCAGUGUGUGUGUGUGUGUGUGUGUGACAUCGUCAGCAUCACUAUGAAAGAGGAGGAAGGAAGUUUGGCCACGAGAUUAAAAGAUGAUUUAAUGGGAAAGUAAAAACCCUCAGAGACUCUUAAUUUACUGGAACACGUCCUGAGUGAUGGAUGGCAGAGGAGUCUGUGUGUGUGUGUGUGUGUUUAGCAUUAAAGUGUUUUUCUUGUCUCUGUGUUCAUAUAUUAACAGAAAUCAGAUUUCUAAACUCAGACAAAAUGCAGGUUGUUUUUUGAUGGUGCGUUCUCUCCAGACGCCAUUCACCGUCUGAGCAGGCGCAGGACGCCGUGUUUGGUCCGUAACUAAAUUGCAGGUGAUGCGACAAUUUCCUCGGACCACGGUCCGGACCAAUGGACCAAAGUUUGGUCCGACCAGAAGAGGUUGUCUGGGUCUGGAUCAAACCGAACCAUGGUCCGGUUCGUUAGAAGUGUGAAAAAAAAGGUUUGUGGACGUGAACACAGUGACGUCAGGCGCCCGUCCGUCUACAGACCAAUCAGAGUCGAGUAUCAGGGAAACGCAGCCUCACGCAGGUGACGACGACAGGACGCAGGUUUGUCACGGAAAGUUCUUUAGUGGCAACGUGAAACCAGAACUAACCGGAUCGAAUGUGAACAAUGCAGCAGAAACGCCAGCGUUGGCUCAGACCUUCGGGUGCCGUCAGCCGAUUGUUGCCGCCUGUGAUCUCAGCUCUCAUUGGUCCGUUUGAAAUCCAGUGGUCCUCAGUCGCCUGAAGUUCGAAGAGUUUAUAAUGCAAAAGAAAAACUACUCUCUCCUAAGUCGUAUCUAUUCA
rnacentral:lncRNA from 1 species